ACUUUGGAAGUGACCCUCAAAUAAAACGUCCUUUAAAUGAGUGGUGUUCAGGUAUACAAUACCCCUGUUUCGGUAGCCGAAAUUGUAAUUGGAGACGUUCGAGCCUUUUCAACACCAUGCAAUAUCAAUUCGGAGAGGGUUCUUAUUUUGCAGUGUGAUUCAACGAAAUUCUAAACUCCGAUUUUACGACACAC